UUAACACUUCCUGUUUGCCGCAGGAGCCCUGGGAGUGAAUGUCGCAGUCUGCUUGCGAGUCCUCCUUGUGUCUCCAAAGAGCAGCUGUGCAGGUGUGGAAAGGGAGCUGCUCGUGAACCUGGAGUUUAAAAUGGUUGUGGGGACUUGCCCCUUUGGCUGAAUCACUCCGUAAUGAAUGCUUUUGCUGACKGGUUUACUCUGCUGGUUUCCUUUCCCAGUGGGAGGCAGGAGGAGAAUAUAAACUCCCUCUUUUGGAAAGCGCRUGUGCUCGGUGCUGGUGGCUUGGCGUCGAUCAGCGGCUGUGAGGGCGUCGACGCAGCCAGCCCUUCGGCUGUUUUCAGGCAGUGUAUCUCCACUGUCGUUUAUGGAUAUCACGAAGAGACAUCUUAAAACUGUCAGAAAUGGGCUUCAUUGCGUGUGACUAUCCUUAGCUGGCUUCUGGAGGGAACAGGAUCCCAUCUCGCCACCAAGUGCGUGUGCACCCACAGCCG
rnacentral:lncRNA from 1 species